CUAAGAAUAUUCCGCAAUGGACGGAAGUCUGACGGAGCGACGCCGCGCGGAUGAAGAAGGCCGAAAGGUUGUAAAGUUCUUUUGCUAGGGGAGAAUAAGUGAGGGAGGGAAUGCCCUCAUGAUGACAAGGACUAGCGAAUAAGCCCCGGCCAACUACGUGCCAGCAGCCGCGGUAACACGUAGGGGGCGAGCGUUGUUCGGAAUUACUGGGCGUAAAGGGCAUGUAGGCGGCUUGGUAAGCCUGGCGUGAAAGACUGCAGCUUAACUGUAGGGAUGCGUUGGGAACUGCUUAGCUUGAGUUACGGAGAGGGAGCUGGAAUUCCUGGUGUAGGGGUGAAAUCUGUAUAUAUCAGGAAGAACACCUAUGGCGAAGGCAAGCUUCUGGUCGAUAACUGACGCUGAGGUGCGAAAGGGUGGGCAUGAAACA
rnacentral:rRNA from 1 species